rnacentral:rRNA from 1 species
UACGUAGGAAGCAAGCGUUGUCCGGAAUCACUGGGCGUAAAGCGCGUGUAGGCGGUAUGGCAAGUCUGCUGUGAAAGCUCUCGGCUUAACCGGGAGAGGUCGGUGGAAACUGCCACACUGGAGGACGGUAGAGGGGGGUGGAAUUCCCGGUGUAGUGGUGAAAUGCGUAGAGAUCGGGAGGAACACCUGUGGCGAAGGCGGCCCCCUGGGCCGGCCCUGACGCUGAGACGCGAAGCGCGGGAGCGAACGGGAUUAGAAACCC